UUAGAAUCAAUACUUGAUUGAUCUAGAGUUGAUUACAGUUGGAUCUUUUGGUUCUAUGAUUUUUGAACUUGGAUGACAAUUGUUCUGCAACCUCGGAUUCCUGACAGACCUCUUUGUGCGUAUGCCCGGAAUUGAGUUAGUAUAUGUGCUUUUUGGUGCUCGAUGUCUUCAUGAAAGUCAAAGAUGAUUUGAUUAGCUUUCUAACGAGCUAUAGCACGUCCUGAUCCGAUAUCAUUAGCUAUCUGAAAUCUUCUUCGAAAGUUAGGAGAUGAUUCUGGAAAACUGAUAUAUUGUAGUUUACUGUUAUGCAUUGUUCGACCUUGACUGUUUU
rnacentral:lncRNA from 1 species